rnacentral:rRNA from 1 species
GACGAACGCUGGCGGCGUGCUUAACACAUGCAAGUCGAACGGAAAGGCCCUGCUUUUGUGGGGUGCUCGAGUGGCGAACGGGUGAGUAACACGUGAGUAACCUGCCCUUGACUUUGGGAUAACUUCAGGAAACUGGGGCUAAUACCGGAUAGGAGCUCCUGCUGCAUGGUGGGGGUUGGAAAGUUUCGGCGGUUGGGGAUGGACUCGCGGCUUAUCAGCUUGUUGGUGGGGUAGUGGCUUACCAAGGCUUUGACGGGUAGCCGGCCUGAGAGGGUGACCGGCCAAAUUGGGAAUGAGAUACGGCCCAGGCUCCUACGGGAGGCAACAGUGGGGAAUAUUGCACAAUGGGCGGAAGCCUGAUGCAGCAACGCCGCGUGCGGGAUGACGGCCUUCGGGUUGUAAACCGCUUUCGCCUGUGACGAAGCGUGAGUGACGGUAAUGGGUAAAGAAGCACCGGCUAACUACGUG